rnacentral:rRNA from 1 species
UACAGGGGGGUGCAAACGUUGCUCGGAAUUAUUGGGCGUAAAGCGCACGUAGGCGGUUUGUUAUGUCGGAUGUGAAAGCCCUUGGCUCAACUGAGGAAGUGCAUCCGAAACUGGCAAGCUAGAGUAUGUAAGAGGGUCGCGGAAUUCCCGGUGUAGAGGUGAAAUUCGUAGAUAUCGGGAGGAACACCGGUGGCGAAGGCGGCGACCUGGGACAAUACUGACGCUGAGGUGCGAAAGCGUGGGGAGCAAACAGG